ACGUAGGGGGCAAGCGUUAUCCGGAAUUAUUGGGCGUAAAGAGUGCGUAGGUGGUUUUUUAAGCGUGAGGUGAAAGGCAAUAGCUUAACUAUUGUAAGCCUUGUGAACUGGAAGACUUGAGUGCAGGAGAGGAAAGUGGAAUUCCUAGUGUAGCGGUGAAAUGCGUAGAUAUUAGGAUGAACACCAGUGGGGAAGGGGACUUACAAGGCUGAAACUGACUCUUAGGCACGAAAGCGUGUGGAGCAAACAG
rnacentral:rRNA from 1 species